CUAGCCCCCAGGUUAAGAACCUCUGUUGUAGAAAAACACCUGGAAGAGACAAGGAAACGUGUGUUUACAUAUGAAAGCCACUUUCGUCAUAGUCAGAAGACCUGAAGUCUUUUCUGGCCCAUGGCAAGAUACACAGAAACAUGGAUGUGCGUGUUUUAAUUAUUGCUGAUAGCUGUCUGAAAGUCAAAAAACACUCCAAGGAGAAAGGGAUGGAAAAUGUCUUCCCAGCGGUACCCACCUGAGAGCAGUGUGGCAGGAGGUCAUGGAGAAUGCAGCUCGUCCUUGAACUGUUUCAUCCAGUUUGUUCACCUGUGUUGUGAGCACCCUCAAGAAGGCCUGUGGGGACGUCCACGUGGUGAGGAACUAAGGUUCCCCACCAAAGGCCAGCUACCUGCCUGCCCCACGGCGGAGCCAUUUUGGGAGGGGGUUCUCCAUCCUUAGUCAAGCUCUCAGAUGACUGCAGCUCCAGCCAACGCCUGGACCCCAACCUCAUGGCAGAUUCCAAGCCGGAGCUGCCCAGGGAAAAUGUUGCUCUAUAGUGAUAUUCACAAGUGUGAGCAGUUGUGAAGCUAGUGGCAUUUAUCCCCUGGAAGAGGGCCACACCAGUGUGAAACCUGUGUCACCCUGUGUGAGGACAGUUUGACGUGAGGAGCUGUGACAUCCCGGUUGCUAACAUGUCUUCUCUCAUUCACCACGCACUUGCUCCUUCCCAAUUCACAAAACUUGUACCUAAAAUUUGGGAAAUAAAAAUAUAUUUUUAAAACUGGUGACUUUUGAAGGGAA
rnacentral:lncRNA from 1 species